rnacentral:rRNA from 1 species
UACGGGGGGGAGCAAGCGUUGUUCGGAUUUACUGGGCGUAAAGGGCGCGUAGGCGGCCAGCGCAAGUCAGUUGUGAAAUCUCCGGGCUUAACUCGGAACGGUCAACUGAUACUGCGCGGCUAGAGUGCAGAAGGGGCAACGGAAUUCUCGGUGUAGCGGUGAAAUGCGCAGAUAUCAGGAGGAACACCGGUGGCGAAGGCGGUUCUCUGGGCCUUACCUGACGCUGAGGAGCGAAAGCGUGGGGAGCAAACAGG